CUGGCAGGUGGGGAGGCCAUGGAUUCAGUAACCAGUACCACACACAAAAAAAGCAAAUGCAUAACUUUCUUUUUCUAAAAUGCCACCACAUGGUAGAAACUUGACAUCAAUUAACUUGAGAUUUUCUCCCCUCACCACUUCCCACACAAUCCAGAAUAUUUAGGUGGUGCCUCUGGCCCACACCUGGUUCUUCCCAGGUGUUCCUUGUUCUCCCCAGGUGCUUCUUAUUGUCAGGCAAUCGAGGUCUACCUUAUAGACCAUCUUUUCUGAAACUGCUAAGGCUCUCCUGGAUCCAGACAAUUGUCUAGUCUCAGGAAGGAGAGAAAUCUGGCUCUGAUUUACUGUUGUAUUCCACAAACUUUGAGUCCCUUCAAGGCAUUGUCUUUAAAUUCCAGAAUCUUAAUUUUGGGUUUUUUAAAUACUCUUCUCUGAGAUGCUUCUUUGCUAUGGUUUCAAAGUUUAUUUUGACAUGCAAAAAAAAAAAAGAAUCAGGAAUCUGUGUUUUCUUUUGUUCUUUCCUUGAGGCACUAAAGCAAUAAAGGGAAAAUAACUAGUCAUUGGAAUAGUGAGAACGAGGGGAGGGGAAAAAAAUAACAGGAAGGAGUCUAGGGACAGAGGAGGAAAACAAUAGUUAAUGUUCAAAACACUGUCCUGCCACAUACAUUUGCUGUUCUUUUCUUAAUACAGCUUCUCAAGUAAUUCUCAAACUUGAAAGUGUCUAAGAAAUUGUUUGAGGUUAAAAUGCAUAGUCCUCAUUUUAUUUGGAGAAUCCUACAUUGGACUAGUGGAAACAGG
rnacentral:lncRNA from 1 species